AUGCACGCUGGCGGCGUGCCUAAUACCUGCAAGUCGAGCGAACAGACGAGGAGCUUGCUCCUCUGACGUUAGCGGCGGACGGGUGAGUAACACGUGGAUAACCUACCUAUAAGACUGGGAUAACUUCGGGAAACCGGAGCUAAUACCGGAUAAUAUAUUGAACCGCAUGGUUCAAUAGUGAAAGACGGUUUUGCUGUCACUUAUAGAUGGAUCCGCGCCGCAUUAGCUAGUUGGUAAGGUAACGGCUUACCAAGGCGACGAUGCGUAGCCGACCUGAGAGGGUGAUCGGCCACACUGGAACUGAGACACGGUCCAGACUCCUACGGGAGGCAGCAGUAGGGAAUCUUCCGCAAUGGGCGAAAGCUUGACGGAGCAACGCCGCGUGAGUGAUGAAGGUCUUCGGAUCGUAAAACUCUGUUAUUAGGGAAGAACAAAUGUGUAAGUAACUAUGCACGUCUUGACGGUACCUAAUCAGAAAGCCACGGCUAACUACGUG
rnacentral:rRNA from 1 species